GUGCUAACAUCUUUCACCCGAUAAAGCCACCGAAUUUACCUUGUGUAGGCUAACAGAUAAGUAAACAAGCCAUGCCAUUAGAUAUUUUUGUUACAUGCUUCUUUUUAUUAGGCUACAUUGAGAGUCUUUAAAAGUGCACUGUUCUAAAAUCGCUGACGAAAUGUAUGGUGAUAUCAUAAAGUUAAUUUUGUGAUUAUUACCUAAAUAUUUUUCAGACUGGCCUUAAAUUUAAAUCACAAAUCGAAGUGUUUUAAAUAUCAAUGUUUCGCAUGAACAGGAUCGAGUAGCUAUAAACAUUACUAAUAUUUUUCCCCCCUAAGGAUAUAGUGGGCACAAUAUGAUGACACACGAAUCACUUUUGCUCCCUAUUUCACACAGAUAUGUGGUGCAUAAGGGAGAUUGCGCGAAAAACAGCGUUUGAGACUAAUAGCAGCAGAUUCAACCGGUAUUUUUGUUUCCUUGGAUGCUUUCUCUUUCAAGUAGGCCUAGUGUUUGUGAGCCAAGAAUAUAGGAUGCUACUUGUGAGAAAACAUUCGCAACUCUCAUUGCAAGAAUUCACAUACUGAUUUGCCGAUGUGCAAAAAAAUAAAAAAUAAAAAAUAAAUAAAAUAAAAUCGUCCGUGACUUCAGAUUUUUGAUUCAGGCUUGUGUUUUGCACCAUAUCCACGAAAACAACAGUAGCAAAACUGUGAGCGUAUUUGAGUUUCUUAAUUUGUGAUUGAUAGAAUGGGAUUUGUGCACUUGCAUUAAAGGAUUCGAGAAGGUUGUUUUUCUCAAAAAAUACACUUUCGGGUUUCAACCUUCUUUUAUUUGAUCCUAUUGAAAAAGAAACCGUAGAACACAAUGGGAGACGCAUAUUAAACUACCACUCCGUCACCGUGACCAACGUGCCCGUUAUAUGAAAAUAUGAAAAUCUUUCACAAUAGCCCCAAAUUCCUAAAUACUGCUGCAGAUUUCAACACGCUACUCGAACUAUAAAGUUAGAAGGUGUGUAGAAAGACUAUCUCACCACAGGUCACUAAUGCACGUCUGUUCAACUAUAUAAAUACAACCUAUAUCAACAGUCAUAACACAUAGAAGAGAACAUGUCCAAAUACAAAACCUGAGUACUAGUUUGAACGAAAAUUAGAUAGGCUACGGAUUUAUUUAUUCCGAAACAGAAGUCAUUUAUCUGUAUAUUUUAAUUUUCAUUCCAUCAUUCUAUUAAAUGUACAAAUGUUUCCUCAAACAUAUGAAAAAUAAUUAAGGUGUAUCAAAUAAAUUGGAUACAAAAAUGUUAUGUUUAAGUUGGUUUUUUUUUCUAUUUGUCAAUUCGUUAUUUAAAUUAACAGGCCUACAUAUUAGGAAACAGGUGCAGGUCACCGGCGUCAGUUUCAAAUUUUUACUUAAAAAGAAUCUUUGUGAGGAUGACUGGCAACAGAUGCUGCUCUUAAAUUAUUUAUACAACCACACACUAAACGACUUUGAACGCCGACAUUUUUAUUCUGUACAAAACUUAACAAAUCACACUUGUGAUCCCAGUCAAAAAUGACCUGCCAAGCUACAAAUAACUAAGAAUGAAAUUUUAUUUUAAUCUGAAAUAUAAUUCGCUUUAUUUGCUUUACUGUACCAAAGAGUGUUCUUUUCUUCCCUAGAUGCACCAUAAGCUCUUCUGAUGAGAUGAGAGAUAAGAGGAAAGGCUCGGUUGGCAGUCAUUACAUGCGUACCGCGUCCGCGUCCGCGCCCGUGCCCAACUGAACCGCGCUCUGGACCACCUGUUCCUGCGAGGGCAAACAAACAUCGCCCGGGAUGAUCAGACUAGUCAAACUAAACGGGCCUUGGGGGUCAAACGUGCUCGAGAACUGGUUUUAUUAGGGUAUAAAUACUGAGCAGGGCCGUGCAGAGACCUUUGGAGGGGCAGGUGCUCAAAGUAUAAAAGGGGCACAUGGAACAAGGCUUUAAAUGGCGCUGUUCAAAAUAUCAAUACAGCAAUAUAUUGUGAUGCAUUCCUUGCGGAUUCACGUAUCGAUAUGGAUGGUUAUUGAUACAGCAGCAAAUGCUUUGAUGCAAAGAAACAAUAGAGAAGACAAUUUUAAGUUUAAAAUAAUAAUAGCUCUGGGAUUAGAAACUGAAAUGUCUUAAAUUGUCCCAACCUGAUGGCUGUUUCUUCUCUGUUUCAGCAUUAAUCUAUUAUUUUAACCAUCACUACUACUCUUGCACCUAAUCAAUAAGUCCAUCUUAAAUAUUGAUACAAAACAUAAAAAAACGGAUCCACUGGAAUAUAGUGAUUAAUAUUAUUAUUACUGUUGUAGUUGUUAUUGUCUAAAAUUGAACACCUUUGCAAUGUAAACAAAUGACAGGCUACAUUUGUUAUUCAUCUCCUUCACACUGCACUUUGAUGUCAGGUAUAUUAUGCAUUUUUUAUUGACACUGAUAGUUUUACAUUUAUUUCCAGAGAGAUAUUAUUGAGUUUACAGGCUAAAGUGGUCUUGCUGUUGAAAGCACUGUUGCUAUUGUAGAAAAAAUAUAUAUUUGCGUCACAUUUAAAAUAUAAUUAUAUAAUUAAUUCCUGAAUUGUUUUUAUUUUUAUAAUGAUAAUUCAGAGAAUGAGAAAACCUGAAUAAGCCUAACCAGUGUUGUGAUAAUUAUUUUUUAGGCACUCAACGUGUUAAAAAAUAAAUAAGUACUGUAAUAUAAUAAAAGUUUAGUCAAAUAACAUAAAAAAGACCAGACCCUUCGAUGCCUGUGAAACUUUUCUCCCUCAAACAGCACGCUACUGUUACUUCUACACUACAGGCUACACUGUAAGCAAUUGCUGUAAAUUUACAGCUGAUAUUCAACACUAAAAUACUGUUUUCAUGUUAAACAGUUUAAUACUGUAGUUCGCAAUGCAUUGUGGGCUCCUUAAACCGGAAUAACAAGACAGAGGCCCUAAACAGUAUGCUGAUGUUUUAAAUUACAGUACAAUACAGUAUUUUUUUGAAACUGCGUAUUGACUGGGGAAUUUGGAACAUGGUCAGAAGCUUGUUACAACGUUAAUAUUUUUAAAUUGAGGCUACUGCUUUUGGUCAACUUUAAGAAAUACAGAAAUAAUUUGCCAUUAACUCCUGGAGGGACUUUGGGAACCAUCAUUUGGAUAGGAGAUUGUCCAGAACAGGAUACACAAUUUAGAUGACGUGCUGCACAUCGUUGAGUGUUCUUCAUCAACAACCAUCUGGUCUUGCAUCUACAAAUUAAACGGUAAUUCAAAUCUUAUUCAUAUUGCCAAGAAUGCUUGAUAUCAAACUUAUAGUAGCUUGUCUUGCUAGGGAUUUGAACAUGUCAUUUAACAGUGGGGCUUAGAUUUGAAUAGCCAAAACCAUAUUACUUUUGGGUGGUAUUUUAUUUAAUUUUGGUAAUGUUAGCUUUUCUUUCACUAUCUUAACAUUGCAACUCGGUUAAGGUUAAACUUUUCUGCAUGAUCACUGAUACGGUGUAACUAAAAAUCAGCCAGCAGCCGUAAUCAAGACUAAUACAUGUUUGUAGAUUUUCAGUCUACAAGGAAUUUGCCAUUGGGCAAUAACAAAAUGUUCCCGUCAGAUCUGUUGUCAUAACUGUGCCAUAAUAGUGACAUACAGUACGACACAUGAGAAUUCAUAAAAAUACACCUAAUUUAACCUUUAAGUGCGUUUUGGGGAAUACUACUACAUUUGUGAAAAUGGAAGUGUAAAUUAUUUUGUAGCUCACAGAAAGCUGCGUGUAAGCUGAUAAAUUACCUCCAUGUUGUCAGCCAGUUACUAAAUUGCAUUAUGGGUAAAGUAGGUGCAAGGUUUUAAAAAGUAUUGCACUUGUCUUCUUUGCCCUACUAUGACACUGUUGAAAUUUUUAAAAGCAAAUGAUCAAAUCAAUACAGCAGAAACACAAGUUUUAACUUUUUUAUUCCAAAUAUUCUUCUUCCUUUUCAAAACCUGGUGCCUACAUUAUCCACAAUGCAACUUGUCCACUGAUUGAUAUCACUGGAAGCAAUUUAUCAUAUUAUGUGCAGUUUCCUCUAGAGCAACAAAAGGGUUCAUACUACGUUUUAGACGUCUGCAGUAGAACUCCCCAAGACCUGUAAAAAUAAAAUUGUUACCCUUUAAAUUUUUUAUGCCAAAACUAUUUAGCAGUUUGAUUGUAGGUACUUCAGAAGCCUACUUCUUUCAUCUCUAGGUUACUCUCCGCUAGUGUUUACUAAUUAUUGUUCUUUAUAUAAAUAUUCUUCUUAAAAAUCUUAUUAUGAUAAAGAUAAUGUACUUGUUCCCUUCAGGUGUCUGCCACUGCAGCUGACGUUAAGACAACUCUCAGUCUUCCUGCAAGUCCUCGCCUGAUACUGCCUGGUGCAACAGGGCAAAUCACAAUUAUGGGUUGGGUGAUCACCUUUGAGGGCCUUGUAAUCUCUGAGGGCAUCACACCAACAUUUGCAACAGGACUUGUUGAUAUGUUUGCAAUCUACUACAUUUUCAACCUUCAGUAUCAAUAAGAGGCAGCCUGCAACUCUGGAAUUCAUUCAAAGUGGAAGUACUGGAAUAAUGCUGCACAGAGGAACAGCAACUACCAAAGUGAUGGUCAUCUCUCCUGGAUCAACAAAUAAGAUGUAAAAACACAAGCCUCAUAGGACAAUUUUAAGAGGUAACCUGCAAGUCUAGCUUGCAGUGGCACAGUUGCCUACCUUACUGUUUAAUUUUUAAAUGUAUUUAUUGAUGCAUAUAUUUGAUUCAUCCUGCUAAAAUGUUCUAGUUUCAAAAUGGCCAUUUUCAAAAUGUUCUUAAGUAUGUUUUCAAAAUGUUGCCAAUUCUGCAUAUGUUCAAAUGUUAUUAUGAAAGUAUAUUUUUACAGACAGCAGAGAAUAUAUUGCAUAUAUGUAUAU